rnacentral:rRNA from 1 species
GAAUACGAGAUGCUACGGCGUCGAAGCAGUGUAUGUCCGACCUCCAAGAAAAGCUCGCAAUGUCAUAAAUAAAGAAUGCCUGUACCAUAACCGACACAGGUGGGUAGGUAGAGUAUACUAAGGGGCGCGAGAUAACUCUCUCUAAGGAACUCGGCAAAAUGACUCCGUAACUUCGAGAGAAGGAGUGCCUUAUUUAUAAGGUUGCAAUAACAAGAUCCAAGCAACUGUUUAUCAAAAACACAGGUCUCCGCUAAGUCGUAAGACGAUGUAUGGGGGCUGACGCCUGCCCAGUGCCAGAAGGUUAAAGAAGUUGGUUAGUGUAUGCGAAGCUGAUGACUGAAGCCCUGGUGAACGGCGGCCGUAACAAUAACGGUCCUAAGGUAGCGAAAUUCCUUGUCGGGUAAGUUCCGACCCGCACGAAAGGCGUAAUGAUUUGGAUACUGUCUCGGAGAGAGGCUCGGUGAAAUAGACUUGUCUGUGAAGAUGCGGACUACCUGCACCAGGACAGAAAGACCCUAUGAAGCUUUACUGUAACUUGAAAUUGGAAUUGGACUUUGCUUGCGCAGUAUAGGUGGGAAGCGUUGAAAAUAUUCUUGCGGGAGUAUUGGAGCUAUCAGUGAGAUACCACUCUUGUAAUGUUAGAUUUCUAACUUUGAACCAUAAUCUGGUCAAAGAACAGUUUCAGGUGCAGUUUGACUGGGGCGGUCGCCUCCCAAAUGGUAACGGAGGCGUACAAAGGUUUCCUCUGAACGGAUAGAAAUCGUAUCUAGAGUGUAAAGGCAUAAGGAAGCUUGACUGUGAGACCUACAAGUCGAGCAGGGACGGAAGUCGGUCUUAGUGAUCUGACGGUACUGAGUGGAAAGGCCGUCACUCAACGGAUAAAAGUUACUCUAAGGAUAACAGGCUGAUCUCCUCCAAGAGUUCACAUCGACGGGGAGGUUUGGCACCUCGAUGUCGGCUCAUCGCAUCCUGGGGCGGUAGUACGUCCCAAGGGUUGGGCUGUUCGCCCAUGAAAGCGGUACGCGAGCUGGGUUCAGAACGUCGUGAGACAGUUCGGUCCAUAUCCGGUGUAGGCGCUAGAAUAUUGAGAGGAGCCUUCUUUAGUACGAGAGGACCGAGAAGGACACACCGCUGGUGUACCAGUUAUCGUGCCAACGGUAAACGCUGGGUAGCUAUGUGUGGAGUGGAUAACCGCUGAAAGCAUCUAAGUGGGAAGCCCACCUCGAGAUGAGUAUUC